CCUACGGGUGGCUGCAGUGGGGAAUAUUGCACAAUGGGCGCAAGCCUGAUGCAGCCAUGCCGCGUGUGUGAAGAAGGCCUUCGGGUUGUAAAGCACUUUCAGCGGGGAGGAAGGCGUUAAGGUUAAUAACCUUGGCGAUUGACGUUACCCGCAGAAGAAGCACCGGCUAACUCCGUGCCAGCAGCCGCGGUAAUACGGAGGGUGCAAGCGUUAAUCGGAAUUACUGGGCGUAAAGCGCACGCAGGCGGUCUGUCAAGUCGGAUGUGAAAUCCCCGGGCUCAACCUGGGAACUGCAUUCGAAACUGGCAGGCUAGAGUCUUGUAGAGGGGGGUAGAAUUCCAGGUGUAGCGGUGAAAUGCGUAGAGAGCUGGAGGAAUACCGGUGGCGAAGGCGGCCCCCUGGACAAAGGCUGACGCUCAGGUGCGAAAGCGUGGGGAGCAAACAGGAUUAGAUACCCGGGUAGUC
rnacentral:rRNA from 1 species